CCUCUUCUGACCUCCAUGGGCAUUGCACAACAUGGGUGCACUUACCCACAUGCAGGCAAUACACUCAUACACAUAAAAUAAAAAUAAUAAAAUAAAAAGUUAAAAAUGUUUUUCUAAAAACUGCAGUGUCAGAAUAUCAAUUAAUGUGCUGAUUUUCUUUAUGUUUCAGAGUAUUAGAAGGCUGGAUCUAUAUAUACAUAUACAUAAUUUAUUUAUAUACAUAUACACACAUAAAUUAUAUAUAUGCAUAUAUGUAUAUACAUAUGAAUGGUAACUUUUCAAGAGUCUAUGGAAAAGCCUUACUAAUGCUGUAACUGUUCCGGUUGGUAGUCGUGUUCACUGGUCUUUUUACAUGGGUCCCUAAUUCAUUGUGUUCCGGGCAUUGUUGGCUACAAGGGAACAAUGUCCGCCCAGCAUAUUUCACAAUCAAUUAAUAUGACAUGUACUUUUAAAGUACUAAUUGCAUACCAGGUACCUUGGUAAAACAGAUUAAGACAAAGAAGGAAAGGAUUAUCCUCACCCACAGGGGCCUUCAGAGAGACGGAUAGGAGAGAGGAGGAGCUGGUAGAGCAAACAAUAAACAUAUGAACCUGCUGUUGUGAGUGGUGUAAUGAAGUGUUGGGGGGCAGAGAGGACGGAACCCCUCACUCCUGUGGGGGUGAGAGGAGGUGUCAAGUGAUAACCCAGAGCAGAUGUUUACAGUGAACCAUAGAAUCAGAUGCCUUAAGAUAGGAGACGAGGAGGUGGGGCUGUGGACCCGCCAUACCACCCCAACAUGAAGGACUCAUCCUUCUGGAAGAGUAAGCCCAAAUAAACUUUCUUCGACAAUUUGCUAUGGUCAUAAUGUUUUAUCAUAGCAACAAACAAGCAACUGACACAUUUUGAUUCACAGUUUUGGAAGGGUUCAGUCAUCAACUGGGUAGGGAGUGUGCAGCCCAGCAAACUGCUUACCUCUGGGUUGAGAAAAGAGAGGUAAGGAAGGGGCUGAGGCCUUAACAUCUCCCUCUGGGUCAGUAACCAGCAGCCCUCACGCUAGGCUCCACCUCCUAAAAGUUCCAGUCUUCUGCCGGCGCCGCAGGCCCAGGGUCAAGGAUUCAUCACUUUCCCCUCAAGCUGCAGUGUUGUGUAUAUUCUUACUUAAAAUGCUUCCGAAAGAAGGCACGGUAUAGUAACAACGAAAAUCUGUUGCAGGUGAUUUUUGUUUGGAGUUUGGUAUGUAUAAAGCACAUAGGGCGGAGAUAGAAGCUCACACGGGCAAACGGCAGUCACGGAAGGGCAGCAGCUUCAUCUACACGGUUUUGGUUUCAGCUACAGAUAGCUGCCUAACGCGGCUAGACAGUAAGUUGAACUGCACUUGGAGCACCAGAGGAUACAAAGUUUGUUACACCUAUAGUCAUCUCACAUAUUAUCUCCCCAGUGGAUCCUGGAAGGGGACAUGAGAGCUCUAGUUAGAGCUCCAGAGCGUUGCUUUUAGGUUUGGAUGCGGCUUCUGGUAAAGGUGCUGUGAAAGCUCAACACAGCAGAAGUGGAAAUGAUGCCGGCCGUGUGACUUGGGAGGUAAGAACUACCUGGCCAGGUGAAUCAGGUGAAGGGCGCAGCCAAAGUUGGUGGGAAACUGGAGGGGUGAAGAAGGAUGCUUCCCCCGCUGUCGCCCGCGCGUUUCCUUUGCGAAAGAAGUAAAAUGGGAACCAGCGUCAGUCAGGCCCGUGUGGAAAUAGACGAAACCGUGUGCACGUCAGUUUUCACGGCAGAACUCCGGAGUCACAGCCAAGCAGCCGCCCUGCGCCCUGUGCUGGGCUGCGUCAGCCGAUGUAACCAACCUCCCGCCCGGCCCCUCACCGAUGGUGGCCCCUGGCUUCUGUUUCAUCCUGGCCUCUUCAGGGUGGUUUCGCUAUUUCUAUUCUUUUCAUUGUCUGCCAUUAAUCCACACUUGGUGUCCUACACUUUACCCCGUGUUUUCCAACCAGCUAUUUCUCAAAGACGUUAUUUUUAAAAAUUAUUAUCAACUGUCAAUAUGCUUAUAUAGACAUAUUUUAUUUAGUGAUGAUACAAACAAUAACACA